GUGCUCGCUUCAGCAGCACAUAUAUUAAAAUUGGAACUAUACAAAGAUCAGAAUGGCCACUGUGCAAGGAUGACACGCAAAUUCGUGAAGCAUUCCAUAUUUAU